UACGUAGGGUGCAAGCGUUAUCCGGAAUUAUUGGGCGUAAAGAGCUCGUAGGCGGUUUGUCGCGUCUGCUGUGAAAACUGGAGGCUCAACCUCCAGCCUGCAGUGGGUACGGGCAGACUAGAGUGCGGUAGGGGAGAUUGGAAUUCCUGGUGUAGCGGUGGAAUGCGUAGAUAUCAGGAGGAACACCGGUGGCGAAGGCGGAUCUCUGGGCCUUACCUGACGCUCAGGUGCGAAAGCUAGGGGAGCGAACAGG
rnacentral:rRNA from 1 species